rnacentral:tRNA from 1 species
GCCCCUAAAGGAUAACAGCUCAUCCCUCGGUCUUAGGAACCGAGAAAUUCUUGGUGCAACUCCAAGUAGUGGCU